rnacentral:rRNA from 1 species
AUGAUGCCGAUGACGCAGGGCAAGAAGAGGAGACGAGCGAAUAAGCACCGCGCGGCGGCGAGAACUCGACCUCGUCCUACUCCCGUUUGUUCGGGGAAGGAGGAGGAGAAGGAGAAGGAGAAGGCCUCUUCUGUGCCUAGCGAGACUGCCACGGCAAAGCAGCCGAUAUACCUUGUGGUGGAGCACGGACUCGAGGAGCCCACCCACUCCGUCAUCAAGGCCGCCGCGGGCGCCUCCACACGCCGCCUGAGAUCCAGCAAACACGGCAUGUCCUUCGCGGCGGUGGGGACGGCGUACGGGCCCCGGAUCGCGGGCCUCGGCCUGGACCGAACCACGCUCUACGACCCUAAGGCCUCCGCCGAGUACGGCGCCCCCCGCCUCGUCUACUCCAAGAUGCAUCCCGUCCUGAUCGCGCACGGCUGCAAGCUCCACGCGCUCUCCCGCCGCCCCUCCGUCGUGCCGGGGCGGGACUUCAUGCCCUGGUUUCAUGUCCUCGACCUCAACGACGUCGGGGAUGAUCUCGGGUGGCGCCAGCUGCCGCUGCCGCCAAUCUUCCCUUGCCUCAUCAACCCGCUGGAGUACCGCGACCGGAUUAAGUGGGACAUGGUGGACGACAAGAACCUGCCUUUCGUCGGCCAGGCCGUUCCUCUCGGAGGCUGCCGCUUCGUUGCCUACUCCGAAGAGAAGGGAGGCGCGGCUGCAGUGUACGACAUUGAGGUCCUCCGGCCAGAAAAUUCAGUCACGGGCAAAACGAAGCUGUCCGUCGUUGAGUUGCAAGUGAUAUCAAAAGGCAUUGUUCCGGGGCAGCUGCUGUGCUCCAUGGGGAAUGGCAGCUUCUCCUCUUUCGACAUUUGA